AUUGAACGCUAGCGGGAUGCCUUACACAUGCAAGUCGAACGGAGUGGCGAACGGGUGCGUAAUGUAUCGGAACGUGCCUAGUAGCGGGGGAUAACUACGCGAACGCGUAGCUAAUACCGCAUCCUCUUAGAGCGGCCUAUAUCGGAUUAGCAAGUUGGUGGGGUAACGGAUCACCAAGGCGACGAUCCGUAGCUGGUGUGAGAGGACGACCAGCCACACUGGGACUGAGACACGGCCCAGACUCCUACGGGAGGCAGCAGUGGGGAAUUUUGGACAAUGGGGGAAACCCUGAUCCAGCCAGCCCGCGUGUGCGAUGAAGGCCUUCGGGUUGUAAAGCACUUUUGGCAGGAAAGCGGUACCUGCAGAAUAAGCACCGGCUAACUACGUGCCAGCAGCCGCGGUAAUAC
rnacentral:rRNA from 1 species